GCUGAUAAGGUGUGCAGCGAACUGCGCACCGCGACCCAGAAGGUGCUGCAGUGCAGUGCGGACUUCGAGGCUGCCAGCACGGCGUGCCCUGUGUGUGGCAAGCCCGGAGAUCCCAAGGGCAUGCCCCCUUUCAAAGUCACAGUAGUGACCUGGGACCAGCCCGUGAGCAUUGAUGUGCCACACGUGACCUGCAGCAGCUGCAUGCGUGGGUACACCCUGCGGCCCACUGUGCUCGGCUGCCUGCCCGAUACCAUUGUAUCGUGGGAUUUGCUUCGGCAACGUGACGGCAAUGUCAUCCUCUGGUGGCAGACCAGCCUUCUACAGCAGUUCACCAGCCUACAAUACUACAACGGGCACCUGGGCAUGGACCGCUUUUGUGCGGCUCUCAUGGCCAACUGGCAGGAGAACGGCUGUGAUAGCCAGGGGCUUACGCUGACGCAGCUGAGGCAGCGCCUUAGUUCUACAUCGCAGCGGUACCGAUUUCUGCGCGGGCUAGUGGAGGACCUGCCGGAACAGCUUCCGGGCUGGCCCGCAGGAGCCCUCAACGCAUGCGCCUGCUGCGGUGAUGCCGAGGGUUGGCAUGGUACUGGCGCGGGCAGCAGCAGCGGCGGCGGCGGCGGCGGUGCUGCCGGUGGCGCGACCACGGCCGCAGCGCCCCUGGCGGAUCUGGCGCACAGGGCCCGGGGGCAGGAUGGGCCGGUGGCUGAGGCGGCGGCGCCAGACGCACCGAGCGCAGGUGCCGGCAUGGGCAGCAGCAGCGGCGGCGGCGGCGGCGGUGCUGCUGGCGAUGCGACCACGGCCGCCGCGCCUCUGGCGGAUCUGGCGCACAGGGCCCGGGGGCAGGACGGGCCGGUGGCUAAGGCGGCGGCGCCAGGCGCGCCCAGCGCAGGCGCCGGCAUGGGCAGCAGCAGCGGCGGCGGCGGCGGCGGUGCUGCCGGUGGCGCGACCACGGCCGCAGCGCCCCUGGCGGAUCUGGCGCACAGGGCCCGGGGGCAGGAUGGGCCGGUGGCUGAGGCGGCGGCGCCAGACGCACCGAGCGCAGGUGCCGGCAUGGGCAGCAGCAGCGGCGGCGGCGGCGGCGGUGCUGCUGGCGAUGCGACCACGGCCGCCGCGCCUCUGGCGGAUCUGGCGCACAGGGCCCGGGGGCAGGAUGGGCCGGUGGCUAAGGCGGCGGCGCCAGGCGCGCCCAGCGCAGGCGCCGGCAUGGGCAGCAGCAGCGGCGGCGGCGGCGGCGGUGCUGCCGGCGAUGCGACCACGGCCGCCGCGCCUCUGGCGGAUCUGGCGCACAGGGCCCGGGGGCAGGAUGGGCCGGUGGCUGAGGCGGCGGCGCCAGGCGCGCCGAGCGCAGGCGCCGGCAUGGGCAGCAGCAGCGGCGGCGGCGGCGGCGGUGCUGCCGGCGAUGCGACCACGGCCGCCGCGCCUCUGGCGGAUCUGGCGCACAGGGCCCGGGGGCAGGAUGGGCCGGUGGCUGAGGCGGCGGCGCCAGGCGCGCCGAGCGCAGGCGCCGGCAUGGGCAGCAGCAGCGGCGGCGGCGGCGGCGGUGCUGCCGGCAGCGGCGGCGCGAGCCCUUCACUUGGGUUCGCGUGGCGGCCAAUGCUGGCGGCCGCUGAGCCGGCUGGUCGAGGCCCUCCUAUCUUUCAUACUGGCGCGUUCGAUUGCAACUUCAAGCUAAGCCUGUUUAAGAAGAAGGGACUCACCCACAAGUACGGCCUCGACUACCGCCAACUGUCGCGCCGGCGGUACACCCUGGGCAAUGCAUACGUGAGGGGCUUUGAGCCGCCCAAGGGGUCUGCGGACGUAGGUCGCAAUGCGGACUGCUCCAGCUUCACCGCGGACAAGGUGCUGGCCAAGGAGGAGGCCGGGGUAAGAGGCAAGGCCAGGGGUGAGAUCAUAGAUUUGCUUUUCCCGCUACGCCGCUGUGCUGCUAUCCCGUGAUGUUGAGCUUGUCGCUGAAACGCCACGCGACCCUCGCUGCAGAAGCUUGUGACUGCAGCUGGCGUGGUCCUGUGUCGGCAUGGUAUGCUACUUCGCCUCGUCAACCUCUUUCACGGGGAACGUCACAUGUACGCGACGGCGGCGGCGGCGUCCAUCCUGGCUGCGGGAACCGCUGUGCAGUUCUGGUGGUACGAUAUUGCCUGCCGCUGGAGCAAGUCGUGGCAGAAGUGGCACCAAGCUCUGGACCCGUCAACGGCGUGGCUGGGCGUCGCAGCGGCCAUGGUCAGCCUCGUGCCGCCGUUCCACAGCUAUGCCCACAGGUGUGCUUACGGGGAGGGGGCGGGCGUUCGGGGCAUGUAGGUUGCAAAGUACUCUAGCUGCUAUCUUACUCCGCAUCCCUUCAACCAUGUGCCUGCAGCUACGAGUGCCAGAAGACUUUCGGGCACCAAGGGCAAACGGGGGCAGGGCGGGGCACAGGAGAGAUCGUCGAAAUCUUCAACUCGCAGGUCGGGAAGCAGGGCAAGGUGCUGCGUUACACGUCGCCUGCGCACCGUGAGAGUGUUCUGGAGGAUGUGGGGCGCCGCUACUGCCGCCAGGUAAGGCUUUGUCGAGUGUCGAGGGUAGGCAGGCGGCAGGUUAGGCAGGCGCUCAUUCUGUGUGCCGUGAUGUGCAGGUCGAGCUUGGCCUGCCCGCUCGGGUUUACCGCAUGCGGUUGCGGGCCCAGGCAGCACAUGAUGCAGCGCAGGAUCGGAUUGAGACUCUGGAGGCCACGCUGACGCCGCAACAGGUGCGACUGGACUUCCCUGUAGACUCGUGUUACCUUGCUUACGGUUUCCAUGUGCCCAGCAGGUCGAGAUGGCAUGUGCCGGGCAUGCCGCUCAGCGCUCCCAGCAGCGGCAUGACCAGCCCAAACGACACGCCAACGCGGAUGCAGUGGCAGGCGAGCCAGGGUGGAAGGCAGUGUAUGCCCGCUGCCGCCUGGCGCUGAUGAAGCUGCAGCGUCUGGACACGGUAGACAACCCGGCCGACCCCGUGCCUCUCAGGUGCGCAAGCGGUGAAAGCCUUAUCUGCAUGCCUUACUUUCUUGCUUGGAUUGCAGUCGCUGAUGCCAUAUGUUGCGUGGGUGCAGCGUUCUGGUUGCCGGAGGUGACAAUCUGACGCUCCGACAGCGGCCUGCACUCAUCAAGCAGCUGGAGGAAGAGAAGAAGAAGCUGGAGCAGGAGCAUGCGGCGGCUGCUCCGCCACCACGCGAGUGGGAGGCGGACUCUGCUGCAUUCAAGGAGGCUGUCAGUGACCUGGCCGAGAGCGAGAUCAAGAAGAUCACCAGUGAAAUCGAGGUAGAGUGAUUGUGGUUGGGCAUGUGUAAGGCAGUCGGGGUAUAGGGCAGUGCCACGGCAGGCUGACUGUUGCGCUGCGGAAGUGUGCGCGGCGUUCACUAAUUUUGGGCUUCAUUGCAGGGCCUGGUGCUGGACUACAACAGCCUGAAGGUCAUAACGGAGAAGCUGGCGGGGAGGAAGAAGGAGCAGAGGUAUGCCAUCAAGGAGAAGCAGCGCGUGAAGGGGCAGCUUAGACAGCAGUGGGGCCGCUUGGCUGCCUGGUGCCGUGUGGACGCUGCAGGGCAGCAGGGACGGGAGGAGAAGGCACGCAACAAAAAGAUCUUGGAAGGGGGCUUGGCGGCGGUGCUUCGGGGGACGUUUCCAUGGGCCAGCGAUUCUGGGGCUGGAUCCAGCGGAGGGCGAGCAGUCGCUAGCCUUGUGCGCAGCUACAACCAGCGUGCUAGGGCGAAGGAGGAGCUGCGCUUGAUUGAGGCAGAGGUUGAGCGGGGCUGCGCCUACUACGAGCGCCGUGUGAGGAUUCUGAAAGCGGCGCAGGAAACAAGUGCGCCAGGCUUGGGGCUGCUGCUUAAGCCUCACCUUUCCCGCUGCGAGUUGAUGCUGAAAUCAUUUCAGGGACUGCAGCGCGGAGAUGUGCCGGACGACACUAGCCUUUCUGUGGAUACCGAGUAGGGUAGGCAUGCUGUUGUGCGCCGGCUGGCUUUGGUCGAGGUCGGCCGAUGGUGCUGUAAGUCGCAGAAUAGCAUUGAACAAGCAUACAAGUAAUGUUGGCAAGGCCGGCGGGGCCAGGCGGAGUAUUUGAGUUGGGCGGGUGUGCUCAGACAUGUCCGCUAGGGCGGGGGUUCGGGCGUGUCCCAGCCGGCACCCGGUUUGGUCGAGGUCGGCCGAUGGUGCUGUAAAUCGCAGAAUAGCAUUGAACAAGCAUACAAGUAAUGUUGGCAAGGCCGGCGGGGCCAGGCGGAGUAUUUGAGUUGGGCGGGUGUGCUCAGACAUGUCCGCUAGGGCGGGGUUGUGGCGGGUCGAGCUAUGGGCGGCUCCCCAGGGACCUUUUUGCACCGGGCUGGGGAGGGCAGAAAAGACCGAAAGCUCUAGGGGCUGGGGACCUAGGCAUCUCCCCAGGAACAAUUUGUAAUCAACCGCGAUGGCAGCACAGCUCCCCCGGGCCUCAAAAGCGUGCUGCCAUUGCCCGGCUUUCGCUCGCUGCCCAUCGCGCGCCCGGCACUCUCCUUCACUACCACUUGGCACCCCUCGCCAGCCAUAGUAAGCAGCCCCUGUACACAUAUGCACUAUACACUACCCCGCUACACAUGAUAUAGCUCCCCGGCACUAGUGGGGCCACCUCGACCAUGCUUAACAUGUCUGCGGCGACAACAUGAAAGAGUGGAAAGACAUCUACAAAAGUGACACAGUUGAAACCUCAUUAUUUAGGCGCAGUCGUGGUGGACGCAGGGGUGGCAUUGCAGCGGGCACUGGCGGCCGCCGUGGACGCAGCGAAGCGCAGCUAAGUGUAGGUGGUCAUUACACCGUCCACGAUCAUAAUGGUGUUGUAGAACAGGACGACGAGGAAGGAGCAGCCUACGUUCAACAUGCGGCGCCUCACACGCUCCCCGACGUUGAUAGCGACACCCUCAGCUCAGACCCCGCAGACAGCUCAGACGACGAUGGUGAGGGGGCCGGAGGCGCUGAGCCGAGGGGGCAGGAGACAAAAUAUCCGCUGCCAUACGAUAGCAGCGCUGUCGUGGAAGACUUCUUCCGCAGCGUCACAGCGGCUGAUAAGGUGUGCAGCGAACUGCGCACCGCGACCCAGAAGGUGCUGCAGUGCAGUGCGGACUUCGAGGCUGCCAGCACGGCGUGCCCUGUGUGUGGCAAGCCCGGAGAUCCCAAGGGCAUGCCCCCUUUCAAAGUCACAGUAGUGACCUGGGACCAGCCCGUGAGCAUUGAUGUGCCACACGUGACCUGCAGCAGCUGCAUGCGUGGGUACACCCUGCGGCCCACUGUGCUCGGCUGCCUGCCCGAUACCAUUGUAUCGUGGGAUUUGCUUCGGCAACGUGACGGCAAUGUCAUCCUCUGGUGGCAGACCAGCCUUCUACAGCAGUUCACCAGCCUACAAUACUACAACGGGCAC
rnacentral:lncRNA from 1 species